rnacentral:rRNA from 1 species
AUGGAAAAAUUCGAAGGGUAUUCAGAAAAACAUAAAUCUUGUCAACAAUACUUCGUCUACCCACUUCUCUUUCAGGAAUAUAUUUAUGCAUUUGCCCACGAUUAUGGAUUAAAUGGUUCUGAACCUGUGGAAAUAGUUGUUAGUUGUAAUAACAAGAAAUUUAGUUCACUACUUGUGAAACGUUUAAUUAUUCGAAUGUAUCAGCAGAAUUUUUUGGAUAACUCGGUUAAUCAUCCUAACCAAGAUCGAUUAUUGGAUUACAAAAAUUAUUUUUAUUCUCAGUUUUAUUCUCAGAUUCUAUCUGAAGGGUUUGCGAUCGUUGUGGAAAUCCCAUUCUCGCUACGGGAAUUAUUUUGUCCGAAAGACAGAGUAUAUAGCUCUUCGGGAAUGUGCCAUUUUGGGGAUUCCUACUAUUUCUUUAGUCGAUACAAAUUGUGA